rnacentral:rRNA from 1 species
GCUAAAUACUCUCUAGUGACCGAUAGUGAACCAGUACCGUGAGGGAAAGGUGAAAAGCACCCCGGAAGGAGAGUGAAAUAGAACCUGAAACCGUGUGCUUACAAGUAGUCAGAGCCCGUUAAUGGGUGAUGGCGUGCCUUUUGUAGAAUGAACCGGCGAGUUACGAUUUGAUGCAAGGUUAAGCAGUAAAUGUGGAGCCGUAGCGAAAGCGAGUCUGAAUAGGGCGUUUAGUAUUUGGUCGUAGACCCGAAACCAGGUGAUCUACCCUUGGUCAGGUUGAAGUUCAGGUAACACUGAAUGGAGGACCGAACCGACUUACGUUGAAAAGUGAGCGGAUGAACUGAGGGUAGCGGAGAAAUUCCAAUCGAACCUGGAGAUAGCUGGUUCUCUCCGAAAUAGCUUUAGGGCUAGCCUCAAGUGAUGAUUAU